GUCAUUGCCAAGAGCCUACUGGCUGAAAUGGAGCAGGAGGAGCCGACCCAUAAAGCAGGAAGCUCCUACUUUAGAGCGCCUGCGCUGACCCCCAGCCUCCAUCUCCAAACGGCUCCUGGAUUAGCCCUAUGGGUGGGCGUGUGCUUCCACAUCCUCUCCAAAGGGAAUGUCCAUCACACCGGUGCUUUUCUUCAAGCUAAAUGCUGAGACUCCUUCAACGUCUUCAAGAAAUGUGGACUUCUGGUCAGGAUGGCAGAGCUGCCUUUUAUUGAACACAAAGCAGGGUUGUGAACUUCUGUCUAUGCUGUGGAGUAAUUAAGUGCCAGAAUACGGCUCAUCAGCAGAGCCACUGGAAGGUGGCAGGAACCUCACUGUUCAAUUAAGGUUUACGUGUCACCGGAGCAUGUGCAGGAGGAGGAGAAAGAAGAGACCUGUGUGGAGGCAGCUGAAAUAAAUGAGCUUUAACAAGAAGAUUAGCCAUCCUUCAGAAGUCAGGGCCCUCCCAGGAUUUCAA